GACGAACCGUACGAACGUUAUUCGGAAUCACUGGGCUUAAAGGGUGCGUAGGCUGCGCGGAAAGUUGGGUGUGAAAUCCCUCGGCUCAACCGAGGAACUGCGCCCAAAACUGCCGUGCUCGAGGGAGACAGAGGUGAGCGGAACUUAGGGUGGAGCGGUGAAAUGCGUUGAUAUCCUAAGGAACACCGGUGGCGAAAGCGGCUCACUGGGGUCUCUUCUGACGCUGAGGCACGAAAGCUAGGGUAGCGAACGGG
rnacentral:rRNA from 1 species